rnacentral:rRNA from 1 species
UACGAAGGGGGCUAGCGUUGCUCGGAAUCACUGGGCGUAAAGCGCACGUAGGCGGCUUCUUAAGUCAGGGGUGAAAUCCUGGAGCUCAACUCCAGAACUGCCUUUGAUACUGAGAAGCUUGAGUUUGGGAGAGGUGAGUGGAACUGCGAGUGUAGAGGUGAAAUUCGUAGAUAUUCGCAAGAACACCAGUGGCGAAGGCGGCUCACUGGCCCGAUACUGACGCUGAGGUGCGAAAGCGUGGGGAGCGAACAGG